GACGUAGGGCGCGAGCGUUGUCCGGAUUUAUUGGGCGUAAAGAGCUCGUAGGCGGCUUGUUGCGUCGGCUGUGAAAACCCGGGGCUCAACCCCGGGCCUGCAUUCGAUACGGGCAGACUAGAGUUCGGUAGGGGAGUCUGGAAUUCCUGGUGUAGCGGUGAAAUGCGCAGAUAUCAGGAGGAACACCGGUGGCGAAGGCGGGUCUCUGGGCAAUAACUGACGCUGAGGAGCGAAGGCGUGGGGAGCGAACAGG
rnacentral:rRNA from 1 species